UAAGGAAUAUUGGACAAUGGAGGCAACUCUGAUCCAGCCAUCCCGCGUGGAGGAAUAAUGCCCUAUGGGUUGUAAACUCCUUUAGCUAGGGAAUAAAUCAGUGGAUUCAUCCGCUGUUGAAGGUACCUAGAGAAUAAGCACCGGCUAACUCCGUGCCAGCAGCCGCGGUAAUACGGAGGGUGCAAGCGUUAUCCGGAUUUACUGGGUUUAAAGGGUGCGUAGGCGGGUUUUUAAGUCAGAUGUGAAAGCCUUGAGCUUAACUCAAGAACUGCGUUUGAUACUGGAGACCUUGAAUUCGAUAGAAGUGGGCGGAAUAAUUCAUGUAGCGGUGAAAUGCUUAGAUAUGAAUUAGAACACCAAUUGCGAAGGCAGCUCACUAUGUCGAUAUUGACGCUGAGGC
rnacentral:rRNA from 1 species